rnacentral:rRNA from 1 species
GACGAACGCUGGCGGCGCGCUUAACACAUGCAAGUCGAGCGAUGAAAUUUCGACAGAUCCCUUCGGGGUGAAGAUGAAAUGGAUUAGCGGCGGACGGGUGAGUAACACGUGAGUAACCUGCCUUUGACAUUGGGAUAGCCUCGGGAAACUGGGAUUAAUACCAAAUGACACUAACUGAUCACAUGAUCAAUUAGUCAAAGAAAUUCGGUCAAAGAUGGACUCGCGGCUGAUUAGCUAGUUGGUGAGGUAACGGCCCACCAAGGCGACGAUCAGUAGCCGGGCUGAGAGGGUGAUCGGCCACAUUGGAACUGAGACACGGUCCAAACUCCUACGGGAGGCAGCAGUGGGGAAUAUUGCACGAUGGGGGAAACCCUGAUGCAGCGACGCCGCGUGAGCGAAGAAGGCCUUCGGGUCGUAAAGCUCUUUUAUGAGGGAAGAUAAUGACGGUACCUCAAGAAAAAGCCCCGGCUAACUACGUG